rnacentral:tRNA from 1 species
UCUAAAGUGGCAGAUUAAUGCACUAGAUUUAAGCUCUAGUUAUAGGACCCUUCCUCUUUAGCA